GAAAUGCGAUAAGUAAUGUGAAUUGCAGAAUUCAGUGAAUCAUCGAAUCUUUGAACGCACAUUGCGCCCGCCAGCACUCUGGCGGGCAUGCCUGUUCGAGCGUCAUUUCAACCCUCAGAACCCCUUGCGGGAUCUGGCGUUGGGGAUUGGCAUCCAGCCAGCCCCGAAAUCUAGUGGCGGUCCCUCCGCGACCUCCCCUGUGCAGUAGCGAUACCUCGCAGCGGGACAGCGGUCUGACCACGCCGUAAAACCCCCAACUUCCCAAGGUUGACCUCGAAUCAGGUAGGAAUACCCGCUGAACUUAAGC
rnacentral:misc_RNA from 1 species